CGGCAACAGCUCAAAUUUGAAAUCUGGCUCUCGGGCCCGAGUUGUAAUUUGUAGAGGAUGCUUUUGAUGCGGUGCCUUCCGAGUUCCCUGGAACGGGACGUCACAGAGGGUGAGAAUCCCGUACGUGCCCGGUGGCCGCCCCCGUGUGAAGCUCCUUCGAC
rnacentral:rRNA from 1 species